rnacentral:rRNA from 1 species
AUUGAACGCUGGCGGCAGGCCUAACACAUGCAAGUCGAGCGGAUGAGUGGAGCUUGCUCCAUGAUUCAGCGGCGGACGGGUGAGUAAUGCCUAGGAAUCUGCCUGGUAGUGGGGGACAACGUUUCGAAAGGAACGCUAAUACCGCAUACGUCCUACGGGAGAAAGCAGGGGACCUUCGGGCCUUGCGCUAUCAGAUGAGCCUAGGUCGGAUUAGCUAGUAGGUGAGGUAAUGGCUCACCUAGGCGACGAUCCGUAACUGGUCUGAGAGGAUGAUCAGUCACACUGGAACUGAGACACGGUCCAGACUCCUACGGGAGGCAGCAGUGGGGAAUAUUGGGACAAAUGGGCGAAAGCCUGAUCCAGCCAUGCCGCGUGUGUGAAGAAGGUCUUCGGAUUGUAAAGCACUUUAAGUUGGGAGGAAGGG